GGUGUCUACUCUGAGUUGUACCUAUGGGAUCAAGUCUCCUAACCCGAGGCUUGUUCUAAUAUUCUUCAGUAAUUCGACUUCUAAUACUAGUAAGUUCUUAUUUUAUUGUUCUUUGGUUUAUGAGUUUACUUUAAUCCUCUUUCGGUUGAGUAUUAGAGUAAUCACUUGUUAGCGUAAACGUGGUGUUUAGGCUAGGGUACUCAUAGAUAUCCCCUGACUAGCUGGACCGUGGUAGUAGCGAGGAACGUGACAUUUCCGAGUUACCUUUGUAGAUCGCAUCUCGUUAGCAGGACGGGUAGGUUUAUAGGUGCGGGUCGAACAUCCUUUGUGUUGUCUAGAUUCCGUGAGCCUCCCCAAUAGAACAGUAGAUCAUCCUUACCAAGGUUAGAACGAGACUACGGUUGCAGUCUUCUCUAUACAUCACUCACAUCGAGAAACAUUCUUUGUAGCCUAAAGGGAUAGUAGCAAUAGAUUUGGUU
rnacentral:lncRNA from 1 species